rnacentral:lncRNA from 1 species
GUGGUGCAGCAAACUGCAACACUCAUCAACAUAUGAUAUGAUGGAUACAUGUCACCAACAUAUCAAGUGUUUUUGUAGUUUCGAGUGCAGACAAAUUUCACUCCAUUAUGUUCUGCAUCAGCUACAAGCAACAAUCCCGCAAUUAUUGGAGUUCAUCAUCCUGUGGACUAUAUUCAUUUCUUGAACGUUUUGGGUUGAAUGCCGAAUUAUUUAUAGAUGUAAUGAUGAUAUCUUUAGAAUGUCGGGAUGUAUCGGAGGUAAACUCUUAAGAAGAACCGGUGAUACCGAUGAAGUCACGUAUAAACUUCUAUUACGCAAUUCAUUUGAUUUUGGAGAAAAAACAUUCACCCUAUCGUCGGUCAUGUGUAUAAAAAAAAAAAAGUGAAGUAAGAGCAAACAAAAACUGCCUUAGAGUUACAGAACCUCGAUCAUGAAAUGAAGCAAUUACUUCUUUCUAUAUCAUUUCAUGUAAACAGUGAUAACCAUUUAUGGUUAUAAUUAUGAUUGAUAUGGUGUAGAAAACAAAAAAUAUAUGAUUCCUUGUAUGUUUAGGAAUAGUAAGUAUCGAAUGAGGAGAAUAGGAUCACAUCAAGCAAAUAAGAAUACAUGACCGUAAAGAAUUAUAUGACGAACUUCAAGUUAAUGCACGAUUACAAGUUUACAACCAAAGCAAACCGAGCCAAGUCGUCUAAUAAGCUCUACACGAAGACAUAAUCUAGGAUAACCACACGCAUGUAAUCGCCUUAUCUUGAAGCCUCCAAAUCUCAAACACGUUCAAACCCCUUUUGCUUUCUUGGAAUGUCCAUCACAAUUCACAAGUGAAAACAACAACAUGCAAUUAUAAUAACACCCGAAUGGAAAACGUGUAUAACCAAGGAAGCUUUAUAUAUAAAAGCCAAUCAAAGACUCCUUUGCACCAUCACAGUUCACAAAACUAGAAUCUUCUAGCCUUAGCUUUCUUCAGCAUCCACGCCAUUAAUGGAAGCAGAGCAAAUGAUGGAGCUCUUUGAUUCUUUCUGGUUUGAGCUUGAAAUCCUCAAGAAACAACCAUCUUCAGCAACCUCAUCAAGAUUUGAAGCAGACCUAGUUCAUGAAAAUGAAGAUCAACAACCAUCAAAACCAGAGGUCUUACAGAUUCCAAGCCUCCAUACUAGAUCCCUGAGCGACGAUUUGAGCUCCGAAACUAGCUUUAUCAACUGCGGUUCUCUCUCGCCAGACUCAGUCCUCCACAGACCGAAGCUUAGCACCAUUGUUUCUGGAAAAGAAGUCACAGCUUCAAUGGCAGAUAAUAUUCCUGUAUUACAUAAACAUGAAGUAAAGUCAUCAAACAAGGCUAAAAUUGAGAGAAGAAGAAAGAAGAGCGGGAGCAAGAGCUUGACAGACCUUCAGUUUGAGGAGCUUAAAGGGUUUAUGGAUCUGGGAUUCGUCUUCUCAGAAGAAGACAAAGACUCAAACUUGGCUUCCAUCAUUCCUGGUCUGAAGAAAUUAGGUGUAGACGACGAUGAAGCUUUUGAUGAUGAGUCUGCGAUUUCAAGGCCUCAUCUUUCUGAAGCGUGGGAGGUGAUGGAGAAGAGAAAGAAAGAGAAGAAUCCAUUGAUGGAUUGGAGGUUUCCAUCUUUGAGCAAUGAAAUGGACAUGAAGGACAAUCUCAGAUGGUGGGCUCAUACUGUUGCUUCCACAGUUAGAUGACAUUGAAGCUAGUCUAAUUGUAAAUUUUGCUUUACUUUCUCUUUUCAAUUCUUUAUACGGAAGGUUUAGAUCAACCAAAUUGUUCUUGAAUCUUUGUAAAUGUGAAUAAUUUAAGGUAUACCAUUCUUGCGCUUUUCUGGUGCUUUGCUCUGCAUUUUGGUUUAUUAUUGAAUUUCUUGGAUUUGGAGUAGGCAGAACCGCAGAAAAGUAUGAUAGCAUUAAACUUUCUCAGCCUUCAAGUUCCUGGAAACAUGCAUGUGUGCUUGCUUAAGCACCAUAAUUACUCGUUAUCGUGUUUAAGUGUGAGAGAGAUCGAUGUCUUUCGUUUCUCACCAAAGGGUCUCGACAGUCGUCAUUAUAUAUUCUAGUCAAUCCCGGCCACAGCAGGUAGAGGACGUUAAUACGAACAUGUAAAAAUUAUCAGGUAAAAAAGAGAGAGAGGGAUUUAAUAUUUUCGGAUAGAAGUUUUUAAAGGAGACUUUCCGGUAUUGGAAAGUCAGCAGCCCACUCUCUCUUCCUCACUCCCUCCCCGCGCGCCCUCGACCCGGUCCCAUCCUCCACCACCAAUCGUCGCCGUCCGGCCAGCACAAACCGCCGCACCGGUCUCAAUCGAUCCACCGUCGUCUCCUCCAUCUUUCUGGGCUGGGGAUCGAGUCUUUAACGCUGCCCUUUGAAGGGAAUCUCAACUGGAAGUCUGACUGCACAUUGAGGAGUUCUUGCCGGAAUAUCUCCCUCCUCCGGUAAUCAAUCCGAGAGCUCUAUAUAUGGUUUUGAAGGUCUUCGCUCGUGUAUCAAUUCCCUAAAAGGAAUCAAUCCAAUUCAAUCUAAGCAAAGAGAUUCGAAGGUUUGAAGCUCUAGGGUUUCAAUUUGGGAUUUUUAUUGUUUUGGUUCGAUUACCCUAUCUAGGGCUUGAAAUUGAUGUUUGUGUUAAAUUUUGGUGAACAUUGGAAGUGGCUGGAGAAGGGUUGGUCGGCCGGAUCUUUUGGGUAGUUUUUUCUGUUAUUAAAUUUGUUAUGUUGAGAGGAGUCUGAUGGUGUGAAGUCUGUAAUUUUUAGAGAAGUUUUGGUUAGGUUUGGAAUUUUUUAAAGAUUGGUGAACUUGACGGUUAAUAGGGUAGGGUCCGGCCGUUGGAUUAGCAUUGUUUAAACUGUAGAAAGUUGUUUUCAAGCUGUCGAAUUCUUGGGGUGAAAUUCGGGCCUUAUUGUGUUAAGAAUGGGGAAGUUGGGCAAAGACGAGCGUUGUAUAAGAUUAUUUAAACUGUAGAAAGUUGUUUUCAGGUUGUCGAAUUCUUGGGGUGAAGUUUGGGCCGUAUUGUGCUAAGAAUGGGGAAGUUGGGCAAGGACGAGCGUUGUAUAAGACUCAUUUUUAUUCUGCCUAUUUAUAUAAGUAUCAAAUUUUAGGUGGGGAUUUAAUUAUAUAUUUUGAACAAGAUGUGAGGAGGCUCGAGCUGAAGAGACCUCAUAUCAACGUCAGACUUAGGCCUAAAUUUAUGAGUGGACCUUUGUUUUUAUAUUAUAUGCAUGCAACUGGAUUAAUGUUGAAUAGUUUCUUUUUGUUGGAGCAUAUAACGUUAUUUUUAAUUUGGCAAUUUUCUUUAAUUUGUGUGUGUGUAUAUAUAUAUAUAUUUAUGAGGAUAGUAUAUAUAUAAAUACUAGCUAGCCAUAUGUGCCUUUCCAUCAUAAUGGUGUAACAAUUAGCCGCCAAUAUGGUGUGACGUGAGAAUGGGACGCAAACGUCGUAACUCUAUAUGAGUGUAAGUACUCAUAUAGGGGAUAUUUAUCACGUAUAUAUACACGUCUUUUCCGUCAUAAUGGUGUAGCGACUAACCUCACCAUGAUGGUGUAACGUUAGUGUAGGACGCAAGCGUAGUAGCCUUGCAUGAAUUCUUAAAUUUACAAGAAUUCAUACAAUUCAUACAAGAAGUAUGACGUGUGUAAAUACAUACUUAUAUACUAUAGCCUAGGAGGCUCAAUAUUAUAAAGUAUUGGAGACUAGCGGGGCUAGUCACGUAUUUUCUGUAUUUGUCAAUUCAUAAGUAAAUGCUUUAAAGCUUGUCGCAUGCAUCACAGCUUUUCUAUAUAAAUUGAAUCGGGAAAGCAUAAAUUUAUUUAUUUGUUCAUUUAUUUUAAUUUUACUUUUGUCCACUCACUUUAACGUUUUCAAAUAUUUUCUCUUGGGUAAUUUCAUUUUUAAUUGCCCAGUCUGCAGAGUUCGGGUCGGUACUAGUAAGAGGCGAGGCAUAGUUACCAAACAUCACUACCACUUUUCACCUGUAGGUUACAUGUUUAACCUACCGGUGUAUUUUCUUGUUUCCUCUAGUUUUAGUAGCUCUGAUUACCUUGGGGGUAUUGUAUAAUAUUCGUUGUAUGUUAAGACUCAUGAUUCUAUUUUAGAAAUAUGUGAAGGAUAGCGUAUAAUUUAUCUUUUGGAUGUUUAAGUGAUGAUUUAAUGUUAUUGUGGGGAGCGGAUGGCUCCAGGAGUUGAGGAUGAAUGGUUUAUUAUAGAAGUGUUUAUCUGGAUUUUGCAGGUUAGGGUUGUCCAUUUGCAAGGGAGGUUAUGCCGAAUCUUCGAUAAAUUUUCUUUAGAGGUGGACCCCGCAGGAUUUACUUCAGGUUUCAGGGUGAAAUUCGAGGUGGGUCCUGACACUUUCUCUUGUUCUUCACUUUCACCAUAUAUAACCAAAUACAUAGUUGAUUUCCAAUUAUACCAAAGAUCCACCGGGAGAUCAAUCAUGAAAGUAUAAAUUGAUGAUAUGAGAACAGUUUUCAAAUAACUUGAUAGCAUCUUUAAGCAGCCAUGGCAGAUAACCCUAAAACACAUAUAUUGCUGAUUUUAAUUCACUUUGGUAUAAGAUGAUGGUGUACACUGGGAAAAUAGAGAAGAGAAACGAGAAAGAGAGAGAGAGAGAGAGUUUGUCUUCAAGCCCUCAAUUUCCUAAAAGUGGACAAGUGGGCAUAACAGGAAAAGUUUGUUGAGGUGUGACUAUAAGGGAGCCCUUCUAGUAAAGACCUUUAAGUUGAGGACUAGUUAAAGACUUUUCGAUUUAUGGUUUAAAUCUAUUUUUCGAUCACAUUUUGACAUUUCAUCCAUUCAGUUUUUAGGUCUAUAUGAGUAAAUUAUAUAUACAAAUUUUCAGUUAGAUAAGUGUUCGUUAAGAUAACAAACUAGAUCAAAUUAAUAGACAAACCAAAUCUGUCAAAUAUGAACCGUUCAAGUUCAUAAUUAGUAAAUUACACUUAUGAUUGCCUAAACGAUUUUUAAUAUGACUGAAAAUUUGCAUAAAUGAUAUACUCAUAAAUACCUAUAAGAUCAAAAAGUUGGAUAAGCCGAAGAGUUCUCAAUUAGUCCUCAACUUAAGGACUCCCGUGACUAGAAUCACCCUUUAAUUUGAUUGGAAAAAAGAAGUUUUCUUUUAAUUUUAAUUAUUAUUUGUUGCUAAACUCAGAGGCAAGAUACGUUUGAAUGAAUGACACAUGUUCAUUUAAUAUGUGGCCGUGUGGUUAUGGACCAUUUGUUUGUUGGUCUUGAUGUUUUGGACCUUAUGUUUUACAUUAUGUUUGUACCCUUUUGUGGGCUUUCCCUUAGUGGGUCUGUUUGUAUUAAUCUGGGUUAUUUUUUUAUUUUAAUAAAAUUCUCUAUUUAAUCUAAAAAAUAAAAAAAUGUGUUGCGAAAAACCGACGACGAAAAAGAUCUCUUAUAUAUUUAUUUAUUUUACCUGAAAAGGAAUAAAUAAGAGUACCGAAAGAACAGUUCGCACUCGAAAUAACAAGAAAACGAAAAGGGACCAAUUUGCCGUCGUUCGCGCCAAACCCAACCCUAAAUCCCCAAUUUCGCAGGCAUGUCUUCGCGAUCCAAGGGUCCAAGGAAUCGUGAACUCAAAUUGAUCCAAAAACGAGAUAAGCCUGGGGGUAUUUGCUUUUCCCUUUUCCUUAGUCCGCAAUUUCGUCUUUGUUUCAUUCUAUCUGGGAAGGAACACCUAUAUUUAGUAUGUGUUUGAUUUUUGUUCUAGGUUUUGUUAGGAUUUUGCUUAUCAAACUCACAAAAAAGACUGUUGCUCAUUUUUUUUUAUCAUACAUUGAUUUCUGGGUUUGGUUUCUUGUUUGUUUGUGUGUAAUUAUCUGACAAUGUUAUUUCAAACAGGUUGCAAAGUCAGAAAAUCAAAGUCUUCUCCUGCUGGGCCUUCACCUGGUAAGAGUUUGAAUUUUCUUGUUUAAGGUGUGAUCUGUUGAUUGCCGGAAUAUAGUGUCCGUGUUUUUAAUAUCACUUCACCAGCCAAUGAUUUUUGGUUUUACAUUAUGUGGUCUAUAUUGACAUAGAAUAAGAGGGAAUAUAGCUUUUAAAGAUAGUUUCAGCAGCAAAAAAAAUCUUGGGUACAAGGCAGUUAAUAUAGAGUAACCACUGUUGAUGGGCUCAUAGAUCUCAUUGCAUGGAGUCUUCGAUUAAUUUUUAGUAUUAAUCAGAGAUUUAUUCUUGCCUUUUCUUAUGCCACAACAUUGAUAUCCUGCUACUAUCUGAUGUCAUGUAGUCAGAGUACCGGUGCAGUAGCAUUUUUGUUUGUCAGUCAUGGGAGCUUUGCUGCACAGCCAAUCUCUUGUUUUUCUUUUAAUUUUUUUUUUUCUAGUUACCUUGGAUUUUCUUGUUAGGAUCUCUCUCUCUCUUUUUCUUUUUGGAAUUUCUUGCAAUGCUUGUUAUCGUUAGAGAAUUCAUCUUUCCAUUGCAGGCUGUUGUGUACCCCCUCUGUUUUUCUGAUGUGGAUAAUGUGGACCCCCUUGAUGUGUGUUUACAGUCAACAGAUAAUUAUUGAUCAAACUAGUCAAUCACUAAACUAAAAACUACAAACGUAAUAUACAGGAAGGAAAUAAAUAUAAACUUGCCCCUCAGACCCAUUCCAAGCCUAGCUAUUAUCAUUCAAUGGAUGCAUCCUUCGAGUGUGUGUCCCAUUUAGUAUGCUUUUGAUUUUGUUCUAUGUUCUAUGGAAGAUUAUCUGCACUUCCAUUGGCUUCUGUUGUGAACGAAAGAAGUAACCAUUUUUGUUGGUGUAAUUAGAGGAUAACCAAAUGGUUGGACCCAUUUUGCUUGAAUAUAGUUUCUUGUGUAUAUUGGUUCGUACAUGUUGCAUAUCCCACAUUGAGUAUUAUAGUUUGAAGAUGACUUGUCCUCCAUUAAUUUCACUUUGAUAUCCUGCAUAGAAUAAUUCAAAGAGACUAAUUGUUGAUGAGAUCUAACAUCUCAUUGUCUAUGUGACUACUUACGUCAUUACAGGAAAUACUGCCUAAAAUUUUCAUUUCUGGUCUGUGCUUGAUGCAUUGCUGAUACAUCAAGUUUAGUAUAUAUGCCUUGCAGCUAUGUUUCAUAUAGCAUUAAUUUUUUUAUUUUAUUUUAUUUAUUUAUUUAUUUUUUGCUGUUCUGAGAUAAUACUAUUUAGAGUCAUGUGGUGAUAGUAAUGUUGUUUUGAGAUAAUACUAUGUUUCAUUACUUCCUCAUUAUCUUCUGCUUUAUAUUUUGUCUGACAAAUUAAUUGUAAACAGGUGCUGUGACAUCUUCUCGUUUCCCCAGUGCUGAUGGUGACCAUAGUACUGAUGGUAAGAUGUUAGUUCUUGUUUUAAGGUCUUUGAGAAUAUUAUCUGGUGUAACGAUAGGAUAACCAAGCUUCUGGAUCAGUAUGUGUUUGAGAUAAUCUCUGGUGCCAAUACGUACUGAUUUGUGCUUGAUCGUACUUGACAUUGAAUAAUAUAGUUUUUGGAAGCAGCUCCAUCAGAGUCAUUUUGAUAGCUUCUACAAGAUAUAUGAAGAAGUCUACACUAUUAGACUAUUUUUCAAAAUUGGGCAAAUCUUUCAAUAUUAUUGUUCACUUCAAUAAUGGCAUUAUGGUAAACAGCAAAUAAAAUAACAAAUCAUUUAUUAGUUUUUAUUUUUGAUUUUAAAUGCAUUUCUUUUACUAUGGUCAUAAGACAAAUAAUUUAAUUGUCUGAACUGUCACUUUAAGAGUAUGUGUGGGCAUGUGUUGAUUGGAUCUUACAUCUCCUUGCAUGCACAACUUCUCUUUAUAUUUUUUUUUUGUGUGUGUUUUUAUUUCUUUUCUUCCUCUCUAAUGACACUGAUAUAUCUGUUAUUCAUUUUUUCAAUGUUAUGGCCAUUGUACUGGUUUCUGGGUUUUGUCAUCAUUGUCAUCCUAUUCAUUCAUAUUUUGGUACUUUUACUUAUUAGUAUUAUUUCAAUGUAUGUGUGAAACAGGGGACAAGGCGAAGGAACUCAGGCUUGCCAAAAUGUGUGUCAUCCGCGACUGUAUGGUUUUUAUUUUAGUUGUACAUUUUGUGAGCUGUUAUUUUGGGUUUUUCUGAAGGACAAAUCAAAAUGAUGAUUUUGUCUUCCGUAGUUUGAGGAAUACUGAGCCAAGCUUUUGGAUCAGUUUGACAUUUGAAGACAAUUCUCUAGCUUAGUCAGUAUGAUCUGCAUGAUGCAUAGUUGAUACCAAUGGUUUUUUACAAAGCCUUAAGCCUUAAAACCCUUGAAGAGUAGGGUUUUUUUUAUUUGCUUUGUAUAUAUAAAAAGUAAAUUUUAGGUAGAACAUAAUAAUGAUCUAGUAUUCGUCUUAAAGAAAAACCUUUUUCUUUCUCUGUUUUUUUUGUUUUGGAUCACAUUCCUAAGAAAAGUAAAACCUUCGUUUUGCCUUCCUUACUGUACUAUUCAAAUCAUAGCACUUUAGGGUUAUUACAGUGUCGCCCAUGCGUUUUUAUUAGCUUUUUAUCUUUCUAUCUGACAAUAUAAUUCGAACAGGGUGCAAGGAUUCUUGUAUCUACUACAAUCCCAUGGAACUCCGUAUUGCCGAGGGUAAGAUUUUGAUUUAUGUUUUUAAGUUUCUUUGGCUCUGAAAAUAAUAAUAAUAAUAAUAAUAAUAAUAAUAUAUUAUUACUAUUACUAUUAUUAUUAUUAUUAUUAUUAUUAUUAUUAUUAUUAUUAUUAUUAUUAUUAUUAUUAUUAUUAUUAUUAUUAUAAUAUAUUUUGCAAUACUGUGAAAUCAAUUUACUGAGGAUAACUUUACUAGCCAAGUGAAUUUGGUUUUUCCAUUAUGCAUAGGUGAGCUAGAUUACUAUUAUUAUGAUCUUUUUUUGAAAGUUAUCUUCUCCAGCCAAUUCAUUUUGCUUUGUCUGGUCGCUGCAUAGCCUACUGUUAUAUAUAGGGCAGCUGCUUUUAUAUGGGUCAUAGAUCUCAUUGCAUCUAUGUAUCACUUAUAAUAGUUUUGUCGGAGAACUAUUGUUUUUUCUUUCAUAUUCGUAGUCUUAUUGUUCUUCUUUUAGUCUUAUUAUCAAUAUUUUGUGUGUAAUGAUGUAUCUGUUUAACAGGUGCUGAGCUGGUAAAACCAAAGAAGACUCCCACUUGUCCCCACCAGGGUAUGCUUAAUUCUGUUAGAGUUUGCUGUUAAAAUUAUCUUGGAUUUGCUUGAGCAUUGACAUGGUUCCUUAUAUUUUGCAAACAGGUAACAAGAAUGGUUUUAGUUUCAUCUAUUGUAAACCCGAGUGUGCCGGUAGUGUUACUGGUAAGUUACUUUUUUUUGUUGUUGUGUGAGGUUUGUGAGAUUAUAAUGUUGGAGGUUUCUUGAGCUCUUAGUAGUGUAGAAAAUGAUCGCAUUUUUUGUCAUUGUAAUUAGACAAAUACUGUGCGAUCAAUCUGAUUUUUUAAGAUUUAUGGUCGUUUUAUUCCAAAAUUGAAACCGUAAGUCUUAUUAAAUUUUAGUCUGAGAUUUAUAAUAGGUUUCCAUGAUGCAUUUGCGUUGCACAUAAACAGUCAUUUUUGCUCUUAUGCUACCAUUCAAUGUCAUGUGGAUAGUUAUAAUAGUUAGAUACAUAUUCGCUUUGCUUGUGACCCAUCAUCUUUCCGUUGCUGGUGCUUUACCAUCUGAUAUUCUCAUGUAGUCACUGUCUUGAUGUUUUGGGAUUUGAUAUCAUAAUAUAAAUAUAUAGUGUGCGUAACACGGACCCUUAGAAGAGCACAUGUACCUAAGGCACAUGCAACUCUCCUGGUGUCCGUGCGAUUUUGUUUUCAGUUACCUUGAAUUUGUUUGAACUAUGUGUUACGUUGGAAAAUAAGUCCUUUUAUAGGGUAAAAGACCCAAAACCACCCUUGUUCUGGUAUUCACUCGCUAUCUAACUUUUUUGAAAACCUAAGUUGCCCUGUUAUUAGCUUGGUGGUAUAAUUAAGAGUCAAACUUUUCACAGCAGCAUGUUGAACAACGUGAAUGGAAUUGUUGUCAAUUAAAAAGUCACUAGUCACAUGAAAAAAUAGGGGAAUUGCGGUUUAUUACCCUAGCCUACCAUCCUACGCCCAUAUUCUUUCAUGUAAUCAAACUUCCCCUGCAAUCUUGCAAUUCUUCAUUCUUGCUAUUCUUGGAGACUCCAUCCAUAGUCCUUGUUGCCUGCUAAUAUGGGUAUGAUGGUCCCUGUCUGUUCUAACGUGACUUAAAAAAAGAAUGGUAGCGUCCUUCAGUAGAAUUAGUCAAAAAAUAAAACGAUAAAAUAGUAACUGGGACGAAGAGUAAAGUAACCUCCCCUUGUGGGAGAAGGGUCUCUUUGACUACCUUUCCAAGCCUAUUCAUUACUGGAUCUGCCGCUUCAAAUGAUACUUUGGGUCAAUUUGGGUUUUCUAGAUAAGUAAUCCAGCUAAGCCAUAUUGAUAGCCUACAUUAUUUUUUAUGUGAUCAGAUCAUUUUGCAUUCCAGCUCCUCACUUUCAUUAAGCAUUCGUUAUUGCUCUUUUUUGUGUGUGGUAGUAUCCAUUAUCUGACAAUAUAACCACAAACAGAUCCUGUCCUUUUGGGCUGUGGUUUUGAUCGCUGCAACAUCAAGGAUAACUCCAGUGAUCCUGGUAAGCUGUUGACUUUUGUAGUAAUGUUAUUCUGGAAUACCUUACCUCCUUCGGCCCUUUUUACAGAGAACAGAUGGUUUUUAAAAGGCAACUUAACCAUGUAGCAAGUGGUUUUGGUUUUCAUUCAUUAUUUAUAGCCUACGUAGAACUGUUUGGUUAUUAUAGCAGUUAACAGUUCCCGUGAACAGGUAGCGAUGAAGAACAAAAGGGUACUAAACACUUGGAGAUGACAGUUGACCCUUCUGGUAUGUCUGCGAUUUAUUCUAUUUGUAAUUCUUUUUUGGUUACCUAAGCAUUUUGGAAAGCCAACAAACUAACCCUACUGUUCGUUUGAUUUACUCUGUUUGAAAUAUUAGUGUUCCAAGUGUUGAAUUUUAUUUGGUGAAAAAGAACAAAGUUUAUUCAAUUGCUAAGUUAAUUGUUGAGCGCGCAUUUAUGAUUUUUUGCCUAAACAAUUGAAAAGUUCGCUAGGCAAUGCAAAAAACAAGGAUUUAAGGUUUGUUCCCUGACAUUGUUACACCUUUUCAAGUUGCAGAUACUGUGUGUGUGUCAUCAAUUCCUUUGGAGCGUCACCUGUUGGAUCCUCCUGGUUGGAUUUGGUGACCUGGGGUUUGCUUCAACUGUGUUGGAUAUGAAGUGUAUCUAUUGUAUUCACGCUGACAGUUAUUCCCAAAUGUUUGUGAGGAAUUUCUCGAUCUAUAUGUAUAUAUUUAAGGUUAAACACUGAUAUGGCGAUAUGUAGUUAAAGGUUCAUUUUAUUUUCGAUGGUUUUCUAAUAUUUGAGGUCUAAAGUAUACUGGCGGUCUAAUAUUUGAGGUGACCUAAUUUUAAAAAAUUAGAGAAAUUUCAUCGUACGGUCCAAAAUGUUGGUUCAUGUGGAUCAUCCCGACGUAUUGCACGAGUUAUGCUUUCUCUUUGGUUAAUGAUCUGGUUCGGCUAGUCCGGACCCUGCAUUUGAGGUAUGAACGGCUGCUUAGACGGUGUUGUAGAUUGCAUAAAUGAUCAACCACUACGGUACACUGUUUUGGCCACGAUCCUCGGCAUGGGUAGAGAGGUAACUUAGCAGAUCCAAAAGUUAAAAGGAAGAGUGCGGUUGUGUCAUUGCGUGAGUGCGGAACGUAGGUGCGUAGGUGCGUUGGUGCUAGACUUCUAAUCAAAUGACAGGGGCUCCGGUGUCACCUCGCGGACGAGGGAUUACAAGCAAUCCUUCUAUUCGUUUGCUAUCGAUACCAACAUAUGUAGCGAGCAGAGCAAAUAACUAGGCAGUAGGUGAAGGCGAGACCAACUGGGCUCUGUAAGGCUAAGGCAAAGUAGCACUUUAGCAUCUGGGUUUCGAGUAGCUCAAAGGUUGUUUGUAGUUAUUGUAUGAGAUGAUUGUGUGUUUGACUGAUCCUCGAAUCCUCCUUAUAUAGGGGUUCGUAAUUAAUUGAUAAGGAUGCAAUCCCACAACCUAAGUAGGAUUCUGCUAUCAAAGUUACACAAAGAUCCAUUUUGCUUGCGAACUGAGCAACUGGAUGACGCGUGUCCAAUUACAUAGGUAGACUUAGCUUAGGUCAUAGGUAUUGACCCUUCGCUUAUCGAAAACUUCAUAGUCUCCGACACGGACUCAAAUACUGAAGACAUCCUUAUCCCGCGAGGUGUUACAAUCCACAUAGAAACCCACCUCGCAUGUCUCCAAAAGUCAUGCCCUUAACAAGCUUUAUUUUUAGGGCCAUAUGUACUGGCCCAAAUGCUAUCCGAGACUUUAUUAAUUUAGUCUUAGACCGAAAUAUCUGUUGGGCUCAAACACACAUUGCAUAUGAACUUGAGGCGGAGGCAGCAACGUCAAAUAUACAGUUGCUACAAAAGGUUUAUGGGGCGACGACGAGAGGAGGAGCUGAUUAAUGAUGGAAAGAGAGUCACGUAUAACUUUGCACUGUUCAAGAUCCAACUGUAGGAACUUUCUUUUGAAGGCUUGUUUGAAGUGACGAUCACCUCAACCAAGAAAGUGGGAGGCGCAAAAUGAUUGUGUAGUGAUGCGCUGCUCUUUCCUGAGGGGAUCAGGAAAUAUAGCUUCGCACGACUCUAAAUCAAUGCUAUUCACUACAUAGUCUCAUAAAAAGGUCCACCACGAGCAAAGAUGUACCUACACAUGGGAUGUAGCCCACCCCAAAUUUUAAAAAAACAUAGAUUUCUAUAUAAAUUUUUAGUUCUAAAUGUUAAAAAUUAAAAUCUAGCCCACCAUAAAUUUCUGAUUUUAGCCCAUAUCUUUUUUAACUUGUCAAUUUUUUACAUAAAUUAGUACACAUUAAAAUACAUUUCUAGCUAAAGUUGAGUUCAAAAGGCUAAAAAUUAAAAACUAGUCCAACCUCAAAUUUUCAAAUUUAGCCCACAUGCAGUUAAACUUAGUCCAUAUGUGACAUAAAUUAGUAUACGUUCGUUAAAAAGAAAAUUUCAGCCCACCUAUUAUAAAAUCAUGGAUCCACCAUUGACCACGAGCGUCACUAGGCUUUAAGCUAGUUAAGGCAGAUACAGUGAAACAAGUUCUACACAAUUUAGUUAUCAAUUUUUUCUUUGCAUUUUUCUUUCAAUUGUUAUUUUCUUUUUGUUUGGAUUUCAAAUAUUGUAAUUGCCAAUUCCUCAAACCUUGUACGGUCGUAUGUUUAUUAUAAAACUAAAACUUUUAUGUUUCUAAAAUAAAUAAAUCUUAUAUAAAAGAUAUAACAUAUCUUAAAUACCAGGUAUGUUGAUAUCUAUCCAUAUCGUUUAAGAACUAUUUACUCAAACUUAUUUAAAAAGAAAAAAAGUACUUUAAUUUUUCCCUCAUAUUGAGGUUUUCAAAGAUUUAUCCAAAAAAAGAAAAGGAAAAAAAAAACUGCUUCCAUCAUGAAUUCAUAAAGUUUUUUUUUUGGACUGUUUUUCUCAUUGCGUGACAUCUGUCUAAAUGUAGAUACGCACAUGGGCCAACCUAAGACCCCAAUAAUUUCUGAACCAAUCAAAACUAGAACUAGCAUAAUUAUAUAUCAGAAAUGCCCCCGAUUCCAUAUCCCGAAAUUCCAAAAGCCCUAUACCCGUAAUCCUUAUUGGCUGGAUUGAGUGCCAAAUGGACACAUCCAAGCUUCGGUUUAAUUAAGUUUUGAUUAGCGCGCUAAUCUUAAAGGGCUAAUGAAGAAGAAGAAGUAUAUGUGCAGAGCAGCCGAAAUGUUCGAUCUAUUUUCCAGGUUAAAGCUUCCUUUUGGUGUUCGGUGGCUCUGCAUCUCUCUCUAUCCUUCGACCUUCGUACAAGCACCAAAGAGGUAAUCUUUCUGUGCUCUAAGUGAAUCUGCCUCUCUCUGUCUUUCUGUCUCUCACACACACAACCGUUGUAAUGUUUGUGUUGAUUUUCUAGGUUUGGGUCUAUUUAUGUAGGAAAGUUUCAAUCUUGGAGACAAGAUGGAUUCCAUAUCUCAUCCUAUGUUCCUUUUGGACUGGACAUCUGAUACAAGAUCCAAAGGCUUGAUAGGUACGACGAUAAUAGCAAUAGCUGGUAAGAAAGGAAUUUUUAUUGCAUCGGAUGGGAAAACAUUGGAAAAUGGGGUAGGCACCAGGGGUCAGAUAUUACAAUGGGAUUAUCCAAAAAUAGUUUCAAUUACAGAUCAUAUUAUGGCCACCAUUUGUGCUAGUAUCAACGAGUGUGUGUGGAUUAUACAAAAAGUUACAAAGGCGGUUGAGAAGCUUUCUAAGGUGCCUAUAGAUGUGGUGAGGAAGAAAUUCCGGAGGUAUCUGGAGAAGUGGAAGAAGAAGGAGGAAAAUCUCAACAAGGAAUUUCGGGGGGUGGUUCUGGUGUAUGGCUAUAGGAAUGGUAAACCAGUCAUUUACUCUGUUGCCACUGAUGAGUAUCUAGAAAGUGACACAGGAGUCUUCGGAUGUGGCACUGGUUUUGAGAUAGCAAAAGAAUAUGUAGAGGCAAGACUGAAGAAUCACAAUGGAGAACCAACCACAGGUGAUUACAUUCAGUGGCUCAGUACGGCAGUGGCAGUGGCAGCUCUAUUUGAACCCUGGUCUGGAGGUUAUGUUUACAUGGCAGUUGUUUGGAAAUCUAAGAAAAAGAUGAAAAAGAGAGGAGGACAUUUCACGAGAGGGGACCAUGUGCUGCAAAUUCUGGAAAGAGAUUUUGAUGAUCUGCGAAAGUAUAUGGAGAGGGUGUUUAUGGUUGUAACGUAUAGGAUGGAAUACACUCUCUUCAAUGAAUCAGAGUUCAAGAGAUCUUUUCUUGAUUCUGAUAUGGGAUUUGACAGUGCACACUUGAUUGCUGUAGGUAGAUGCACUGACAAGUACCCUGAUACCGUUAUAACCCGGGUAAUUACAUUUGUUAAUGCUGAGGCUCGGACUUCUUCUCCUUUUCAACCUGGAGACGAUGUGGUUAGGUUUUCAGAUGACAAAUAUGAUUUUGAGUUCUUCAUCCCCACGAAGGAGAGGAUUGCAAACAUGUGCAAGUUUCUAGUCGAUCCAGAAGAAUAGUUUUCAUACUCUUGUCUCAUGAAGAUGAUAGAAAGAAUGCAGACGAGAGUCGACUUUUACAUGUAGGCUUGAGGCUGUGGUAUGGUUAACAAGGUUGUGGCCUGCUGAACAAGUCAAUGUCAGCUUUAAGUACUUUUACAUGAUUUGAUCUUUCAAGUUCUGAAGUUAAACUUCAUGGAACAUGUUGAAUGUACAGUUUUGGAUGAAAGCAAAGAAAUAGGACCUGAUACCACUAGAACUAGAAGUCAAGUAAAACUCUACGUCACUGAAUGUAGUUGGGGGAAAUUCAUUUUGACAAGUACUACAUACAUUCACUCUAUUAUCCAUCUUUCCAGCUAAAUAAUGGAGUGGGAUUGAUUUUUUCAAUAUCUUAAAGCGCAACUACAGUGCUUGUAGCAGACCACCUCCAACUGCAAAUAUAAUUGUCAUCAAGCAACUAAAGCUACAUUUUAUACUUUAUAGUUAUGUUCGGCUUAGAAAACCAACUAAAUGCCAAUAAGAAGAUUCAAUAUCAAUUCUGCAUAUCGAAUUCACUGAAUUUAGUAGGCACUAAUUAGGAGGAAGAAUGGCUUGUUGCCAUUAUACAUCUAUCUGAUACUUUUUAGUGGAAUUCUGGGUAUCUCUUACUCUUAAUUCUGUUACUGUUGACAAUAUAGAGAAAUUUUUUAGCUGCAUUGGAAGUCCUGGGGUUGUUUGUACUCUGGAUUUACCAAGGCAUGGGUAUAUGUUGUGACGAUCUAACAAAAUUAUGUCUCUUUCUAAUGACAAACAAUUGACUAACAACUUUUGUGCUUGAUUAUCGUGAAUAGUUAUUACUGUAGGUCUUGCUUUAAAGCUAGUGACGUGGGACUUUUCCAAAAGGCGCCGAAACAAAAUCAUAAAUUUGGGCUGAUUAUCUAUCUUCUCUGCCAUUUAACUUGUUUGAUAUAACUAGAAUGAUAUUUAGUCAUAAUUCAAAGAGCUGGUUGAGUCAUAGAACCUUUUAAGUUAUAGAAAGAGCUGGUUGCUGAUACUGAUUAGCUCAUGUGAAAUCAAAGUUCUUGUUUCUCUUUUUCUGAUUUGGGGUUGUCAAUCUUAUGCAUGUGUAUAUGACUACAUGCAAAGUUUGGUUCCACUGUGUGCUAUUUGGUUUUUAGCAAUGAUGCAAGGAGAAACAUAAACUCAAUUUUGCAUAAUGUUUAAAAAAUUUGUUUUUUUUUUUUUUUUUUUUUUUUUAAGUUGAAAAUAUUUUAUGGAAGCGGAUAAAAAAUGAGUUUGAAUGGUCUAAAUUAGGGCUGCCACUUGGUUUGGUAAAUACCAAACCGAUCGAAAACCGACCGAAAAUUUAUGAUUUGGUAAACCGAAUUUUGGUAAUCGAAAUAAAAAAAACCGAAACCGAGAAAUACCGAAAAAGUUGGUUUGGUUUUUGGUAAAUACCGAAUUUACCGAAAUUCUAAUUAUUUAAAGACUUAUAUUUCUAAAAACACAUAGACUAAUAAUCUUAUCUCACGUUUGCAAUUGUAUAUACCAUUUAGUAAAAAACAAGACAAUGAAUAGAAAAAUUCAACUAUACUUGGUAGUAUUCGGGUCUCAAUUAAAGCGAUCAACUUUAAUUCAAUGUUACUUGUUAUAUAAAAACGCUCUUACCUACCCGUCUUAGUCGAUUCAUCACACACAUAUAGACAAACCCACUUAGAUGACAUGUAACCGCCCAUGUAAAAAUUUAGGAAUGUUUUUACCUCUCUUGAUGAUAGGGCUCCCCAUAAGAAGCACAAGCGUAAAUAGGGUUAACUGCCUUGAUCAAGGCAAAAAAAUUAUCAAAAAUACCUAAUUUUUCUACCAUAGUCGUAUUUCACUAUAUUGAUCACAUCAUAGUUCACAAGGUUUUUGAAAAUUUUACUUCCUCUUUGUAGUUGGUUCACAAAGAUGUACAUAUGCAUAUAACUUACUAAAAUAACUUACUAAAUAAGUUAUACCACAUUACCAGGUAUGUUGUGGUUCCAAUGAUUACAAUUCACAAAAUUAAAAUUCGACCGUCUGAUGUGAUCAUUAUAGUAUAAUACAAUUAUGAUAGAAAAUUUAAUUGUACUCAAUAAUGCUCGGGUCUUGAUCAAAGCGGUCAACCAUAAUUUAACGUCACUUAUUACACGAAAAAGCUUUUACUGCCCUUAUGUGACUUAUUUUGGUCGACUCUUCCACACACAUACUUUCACAUAGAUGACACAUAACUUGUUCAUAUAAAAAUUUGGAAACAUUUACAUCCUGACUAUUUCGGUAGAAAAUUAAACCAUACUCGAUAAUGUGUACUGAAAUGACUAUCUUUUGUAUAUGUAUUAUCAGACUCUAGAAACUCAAGUGAUAUUUAAAUUUUAUAGUUUUGUAUUGUUUUGUUAUAUUUUGAAAAUAUAUUUGUUGUGAAGUUUAUAUUUGGUAAUACCGAAAAACCGACAUCCGAAGUUGGUAAGAUUUAUCUCAUACCGAAGUUUUUGGUUUGGUAAUUGAAAGUCAUAUUUUAUUACCGAAAGCUUUGGUUUUGAAGUUGGUAACGCCCAUUACCGAUUUGAACCGACCGAGUGGCAGCCCUAGUCUAAAUUGACAUAUAUCUUUGCUAUGGUUAUACUGCAUUUUUAAGCUAUUUGAUGCCUUUUGAAUUCUUCAGAGAAGUCACUGGCUGAGCAUGAAACAAAAGUAUCAGGCGCUCGAUCCACAAUGGCAUCUCACUUGGAAAAUCCUAGGGUAAGAAUGUCUAUGUGUAGUGGAGGGAAAUAGUUUUUUUUUUUGGAUAGUUGGUUUUUUUUAAAAUUAAUAGGUUUUCUACUUCUUGCUAAUACUUGCAUUCAUUUUAAGAGGAUGUUGGAAUUCAUGCUAGACAUGUCAGCACUGUAUCUAGAGUGGAUAGUGGUGAGUUGUAGAUUCUUUACUUGCACGGUUUUAGUCCCUUUGUCUAAUUCCUAACAUCAGUGAUUGAUUUUCCAUUUUUUUAUGUUUGAAGAAUUUUAUGAUGAAUCUGGGAAUCCAAUAUGGAAGAAUCGAGUAGAGAGUUGGAAGGAUAAAAAGAGCAAGAAGAAAAAGGAUGCGCUUAAGGUAGAAAAGGUGGCUGAAAUUCCACCUGAGCAGCAAAUGGCAGAGAAUCUAAUGGCAGAGAAUCUGUAAGUAAUAUUAAAACUUGGGUUAGUAAGAAGAAAUGUGUGAUUUGAGUCAUCGUCUUUUUUGCAGUGCCCCAGUUCCACUUCCGUCUAAUAAAAUCACACCAUACAUAAUAAUAAUUAUGCGACUGAUCAUUUGGAGGUAUAGGGUUGUUGGCAAUCCUUAUAUAGAACAAAACACAAUCUAUGAAGCUUAAAGCAAUUGGGAGAUUGGUCUUGCACAUCUGAAGAACAAGUUGAAGAAGUAGAAGAACCAACAUGAUCUCAUGGAACUCAGGUAAAAUCAUGUAGGUGCAUUUCAAGAUUUUUCACAGAGGAUAGCAGUAUCACUUGCCAUCCUAAAAAUCUGGGUUUCCAGCUUUUUUGAUCUUUUGUUCAGUUGUCUUAUAUUUAAGUUUCUUUACCCUUGUUCCAUAAGAACUAUGUCUGGGUGAGAUCCUCAUUUGAAUUUCAAAUUGACAACUAAGAUAAAAGACAUGCCUUGGUGCUUAAAUUAGUCUAGGGUUUGAUGCCUUUAUCUCAACCCGUGACCCAUGUUUUAGCUUUUAGGCUCCAACUGUGGUUUGUUGUGUCUGUGAUACACAAACCAAUAUUUGCAGCUGUCUUUGUUUGAUAUCAGAGAAAAGUGGUUUGCUAAACCAUUAUGGUAUUAUGCUUUUGGGAAAAAGUUUGCAAAACCUUUGUCUCUUGCUUUUAAAUCAAACAUUGUUUAGGAUAAUUUUGUUUGUAUUUUCUCUUGGCCAUGGACAGCUGCAUAUGUCCUCUCACUUUAUGAGUUUGGCCAAGGACAAAAGUCCAAAACCCUUUCCUUGUUUUGGCCCUUGUGCCUGCCCUCUUGUGGCAUCUCUUUGGCUUGUGUCUCUCUCUUGUUAGAGCACUCCAUCAGCCUAUAUAUAUAUUGAGCAAGGCUGCCUUUGCUCAAUGGUUGUCAAAAUGUAGUUUUUACAUUUGCAUUGUUGGGUUUUGGUUUUCCUUUGCUUUGUUCAUUAGUCUCUAAGUCUUCAUUUUGUGAUUAUAAACCUUAGAGCUGAACAAAACCUUCUCUCACAAAGUCAUUGCAUUAUUGUUGGGUUUUGGUUUUCAUUUGCAUUGUUCAUUAGUCUCUAAGUCUUCCUCUUGUGAUUAUAAANNNNNNNNNNNNNNNNNNNNCAUUGCAUUCUGCAUACCAUGAGAUCAGUUGGUAGUGCAACAACUCCGGAAGUGUUCAUGAAAGAAACAGCUGAGGAUAGCUGAGUUCUGAUGUAUCCCGCUGAGGUAGCUGGGUUCAUGAAAGAAUCAGUUUAGGAUAGCUGAGUUUCUGAGAGUGAAACUUCUGAGAAGCGUUCAAGGUUGAAUCUGCUAGUGGUUAGCUGAAUUCACGAACAAGGCUUCUAAAAAUGUUCCAUGUUGUAAGAGCUUAGAAACAAGAGA